rnacentral:lncRNA from 1 species
AGAAUGAUUCCUAAGGCUAUCCCAGAACCUAGAUUCGAAUAAAAAUAUCUCAAGAUGGGAAGGAAAACAUUUGUCUUAAGAAACGCUAGGAACAUGAUAGUGUACGCCUUGGAGCCAGUGCCGGAGGCCUGCUGAUGUCCCAGAGCAGAAAUAGCCUGUUUCAUCAUCGGCUCUGGACAACCACAGCCCGCAUUCCUCGAGUAGGGUCUGCAUAGCCCAGAGCUGGCAUGGUUCCUGGGGUCUGGCCAAGAAGAAGUGACCACUGUCUUCCAGCCCAGGAGCCAUGAGCUGCAUGGAAAGAAUGUGAAUGAAGACACCAUUCUAAAUGUAGACUCAUGGGUGCUAUGUGAGCCAC